GAGAGAGAGGAGCCAGAGAGAGAGAGAGAGAGAGAGAGAGAGAGAGAGAGAGAGAGAGAGAGAGAGAGACAGAGAGAGAGAGAGAGAGAGAGAGGAGACAGAGAGAGAGGAGACAGAGAGAGGCCAGAGAGAGAGUAGGAGAGAGAGAGAGAGAGGCGCCAGAGAGAGAGAGAAGCCAGAGAGACAGAGAGAGAGGGAGCCAGAGAGAGAGGAGAGACAGAGAGAGAGAGGCACCAGAGAGAGAGGGGCCAGAGAGAGAGAGAGAGAGAG
ensembl:lncRNA